rnacentral:lncRNA from 1 species
CUACCAUUAUGCAUAUGAUGUGUGUGUAUGGCGUAAUUAGUUUGCGUGUUAGGAAGAAGAGUGUGUUGUGUGCAGGGAAAAUUAGUCUUCUUUUGGAUUAGGAAAUUGCUAUCGUCAAUUUAGCAUGCUUUGGAAAUCUCCAAAGUGAGAGAUGUGUGAGUGGAUUGGUGCUUACUACUAUACAUUACUGCUCACGUCACUAUUUUAAGAUUGAAAUGACCACUUUGCUCUAAUCUGUAGGUGCACCAUAAAUGUCCACUUCAUCUAGAAACUAAAAACGGUCCACUACUCCAACCUAGAGAUUUCUAAGGAUGGACCACACCACCUAAAGGAUGGUUUUGCAUACUACUAGUCCUCUAUGUCACCUGGUUUUUUUCACAAUGGAUCGCUCUUUACACCAUCCUCAAUCCCUUUUCUUCUUCCUUGUGUCUUUCUCGACUCUAUUAUCACUGCUAUCAUUUCCUUCUUCACUGUGUCUGCUAUGCCUGCUCCGAAACCGUAUCCUUUCGUAUAAACACCUUAUGCCUCGUUACCAUCUCCAUCCCUCCUUUGAUCAC